AAACUGAAGAGUUUGAUCCUGGCUCAGAUUGAACGCUAGCGGCAUGCCUUACACAUGCAAGUCGAA
rnacentral:rRNA from 1 species